GUGCUUGGGCGGGAAGUGGGUGGUGAGGGCCGCUCUGGGCUCAGCGUUCCCCACCUGGAAUGCGUCCUGGCUUCGGCUGGCCCGGCCCAACCCUCAGCGGCCGCGGUGCCCAGGCCCACUCCUUCCGCGCCUGGAAACGUGAGACGGGUCACUGAGGACGACGUAGGCAAACUUUGCAGAGCACGUUGCCACCUGUUGGAGUAGCCGCUCCAGCCCCAGUCGAAAUGCACGGCCGAACAAUGGCAGUUCUGAGUGGCUCAGGGGCCCACACUUUCUUUAAAACCGAUGCACUCGUAGUAAUAUUUCUUAUGCCCCACAUCCAGAGGCCUGUGCUCACCACCUCAGCAGUGCCCGGGGAGGUUCGCCAGGCGUGGGCAGGCUCUCCCUUGAAAGCACCUGACCUGGUUCUACCUUGCACUGGGGCUGAAUGGGAAUUACAUGGGAAUCUCUUAUUGUAAUGCAUGAACAGAUUUCACAAGAAAAGGGAACAGGACUGGACCGCUGGCUGUUCCUUCUUUGAUCCCAGGCAUGAUUUCAGCUUGUAGAAUAAAUGAGAAAUGCCUGUUGGUUUAAUUAAAAGAACCGCAUUGGCUGUGCUAGCCUGCCUGCCUUCUGGUGCCCAAGCAAGUGUACUGAUAAAGGAAUCAAAAGCUGCACACUCAAUUGUCCCAGGGUUUUCUCAUCUAUCUUGACAGCUUUUGAGAAUAUAAGUCAAUUUCUCAAAAGCGGUUUAUUGUAAGCCUUGAAAUAUCCAGUUUCCUACCUGGUACCUUAAAUCAUUACUUUUUCCGUAGGGAUAACUGGUGAACUAUCUCCAAAAUAUAUCCUUCUUGUCCGUUGACUCAGAUAGCUCAUUGGGAAGAAGCCAGCUGUCUCCUCUGGGAUGCUGGCUGGCCUUUGAGGUGGGCCCUGGAGCUACUGCCUGGGGAUCAAUGUACUACCACAACACAGACUAAAUUCCUGGUCCCUUGGGAUAUACCUCCAGUGUAAGACCUCCAGGAAGGACUCCUGCUAGGCCCAAUCACAGAGACUAGUAGGUGUGGUCAGAAAGCCCGGGGCACAGCCUGAUUGGUCAUUGUACAGGCGCGUUACCACUAAGGCUGAGCUUUAGGAGAAGAGCAAGACAAUAUCAAUGGCUAGUGGGGUUCACAUGAAGGCAAGACAUGGACAGCUGCUCCUUCAUCCGUGUUUUUAUCCCCAAGGAACAGCUUUGUGAAAGUGCUCUGUGCUCUCAAGCUGUUGCCAGCAGGGUCUGUCUCUUCAGCGUGGCUUUUAAGAGGAAAGUGCAGCAAACUGGAGCCUUAGCAAAAGGCUGCUCGCUAGCAUGAGAAGCAUUUGAUUCCAGCUUGGAAACAAGGGGUGGGGCAAAGCCUUUUUACCACCUCCACCCCAUCUCUCCCUCUCUCCCUUUCAGAAAGGCAGAUUUAUCUAGUGGUGCAUCCCUUGCCUUCAUGUCAGAGUGUCAGCUUUGUCAUAUUCCUGACUGUUGUUACUAGAAUUUUUUUAAGAUUUAUUUAUUUUAAGAUGUAUUUAUAGAUACUUUUUGCCUGCACACAUAUCUCUGUGGGGGUGCUCUGGAACUAGAGUAUGUGGGUUGUGGGAAUUGAACCCCAGUCCUCUGGAGGAGCAGCCAGUGUUCUUAAUCACUGAGCCAUCUCUCCAGUCCCAAUUACUGGAAUUUCAUAUGAAAGCAAAACCACGGCAUAAAUCUUAGCAAAUUUGAAUUCCAUACUUUUUACCUUUUUCCAUUCACCAGAGAUGAGAUGCAGGUAUAUUCACGUUAAAACAAAAAUGCAAACAAGUCAGAUAAUUAAAAGGAAAUCCAGAUGAUGCUCUCAAACCUGAAGAAACACUUGUGGAGCCAGAUGGAAGCAGAGUAGAGUUGGACUCUGUCACCAUCCCAAGGGAACGAAGCAUCAUGGGCUCUGAUUUGUUCACUUGUUUCUUUAUGUGCGUAUGUACAGGAAUGUAUACUUGUGCUUGCAUGGAAGUCAGAAGAGAGCAUCCUGUCUCCCUCUCCAUCACUGUCUUCUUCCUCUGAGCCAGGGUCUGUCCCUCAACCCAAGGCUCUUGGUCUUCUUGGUUAGGCUAGAAGGCAGCAAGUCCCAGCAAUCCCCCAGUCUCCGGCCCCUUAAUGGAUCAGUCUGGGGGUGUAGAGUGUCUGUGGGAUCCAAACUUGAGAUCGUAGCAAGCGAUCUUAACUGUUGAGCCCUCUUUCCAACUGCUCCCUGUCUUGACAGCAAGAAAAAUCCCAACAUAUACUCUGAGGUCAUGUUGGAACCAUGUGUUUGGAGACAGCAGAGGUUUGGGACAAUCUUUCCAAUCAGGAUGACUCACAGCUGUGAUCAGGGCUUUCUCUUUUAUCAGCUAUACUAUCAGAAAAGAAGACCCUUGUGAGCACAGUGUCUGCCUCAAGCUCUUCAUCUUUUCCACUGUUACAAAAUCUCUGGGGGAGGAUUACACACAGGAUCAUGAGUCCUGUGUAUGAAAUUAUGAUGACUUAUGAAUGAUUACAUUCAUCACAAUUACUGUGAAUAAAAAAUGUUAUGUUUUAAAGGAACACUGGGGAAAUUAUGAAAAGUGAAUUAAGCCAAGAACAAAAGGACAAAUCCAUAUUGCCUGAUUUGUUUUAUAUGAGGUGC